GGGUUGUGAGGUUAAGCGACUAAGCGUACACGGUGGAUGCCCUGGCAGUCAGAGGCGAUGAAGGGCGUGCUAAUCUGCGAUAAGCGCCGGUAAGGUGAUAUGAACCGUUAUAACCGGCGAUACCCGAAUGGGGAAACCCAGUGUGACUCGUCACACUAUCAUUAACUGAAUCCAUAGGUUAAUGAGGCGAACCGGGGGAACUGAAACAUCUAAGUACCCCGAGGAAAAGAAAUCAACCGAGAUUCCCCCAGUAGCGGCGAGCGAACGGGGAGGAGCCCAGAGCCUGAAUCAGCAUGUGUGUUAGUGGAAGCGUCUGGAAAGGCGCGCGAUACAGGGUGACAGCCCCGUACACAAAAGCGCAUGUGCUGUGAGCUCGAUGAGUAGGGCGGGACACGUGGUAUCCUGUCUGAAUAUGGGGGGACCAUCCUCCAAGGCUAAAUACUCCUGACUGACCGAUAGUGAACCAGUACCGUGAGGGAAAGGCGAAAAGAACCCCGGCGAGGGGAGUGAAAAAGAACCUGAAACCGUGUACGUACAAGCAGUGGGAGCACCCUUUGGGUGUGACUGCGUACCUUUUGUAUAAUGGGUCAGCGACUUAUAUUCUGUAGCAAGGUUAACCGAAUAGGGGAGCCGGAGGGAAACCGAGUCUUAAUUGGGCGUUAAGUUGCAGGGUAUAGACCCGAAACCCGGUGAUCUAGCCAUGGGCAGGUUGAAGGUUGGGUAACACUAACUGGAGGACCGAACCGACUAAUGUUGAAAAAUUAGCGGAUGACCUGUGGCUGGGGGUGAAAGGCCAAUCAAACCGGGAGAUAGCUGGUUCUCCCCGAAAGCUAUUUAGGUAGCGCCUCGUGAAUUCAUCUCCGGGGGUAGAGCACUGUUUCGGCUAGGGGGCCAUCCCGGCUUACCAACCCGAUGCAAACUGCGAAUACCGGAGAAUGUUAUCACGGGAGACACACGGCGGGUGCUAACGUCCGUCGUGAAGAGGGAAACAACCCAGACCGCCAGCUAAGGUCCCAAAGUCAUGGUUAAGUGGGAAACGAUGUGGGAAGGCCCAGACAGCCAGGAUGUUGGCUUAGAAGCAGCCAUCAUUUAAAGAAAGCGUAAUAGCUCACUGGUCGAGUCGGCCUGCGCGGAAGAUGUAACGGGGCUAAACCAUGCACCGAAGCUGCGGCAGCGACACUGUGUGUUGUUGGGUAGGGGAGCGUUCUGUAAGCCUGUGAAGGUGUGUCGUGAGGCAUGCUGGAGGUAUCAGAAGUGCGAAUGCUGACAUAAGUAACGAUAAAGCGGGUGAAAAGCCCGCUCGCCGGAAGACCAAGGGUUCCUGUCCAACGUUAAUCGGGGCAGGGUGAGUCGACCCCUAAGGCGAGGCCGAAAGGCGUAGUCGAUGGGAAACGGGUUAAUAUUCCCGUACUUGGUGUUACUGCGAAGGGGGACGGAGAAGGCUAUGUUGGCCGGGCGACGGUUGUCCCGGUUUAAGUGUGUAGGUGUGUGUUCCAGGUAAAUCCGGUUCACUUUAACACUGAGGCGUGACGACGAGGCACUACGGUGCUGAAGCAACAAAUGCCCUGCUUCCAGGAAAAGCCUCUAAGCAUCAGGUAACAUCAAAUCGUACCCCAAACCGACACAGGUGGUCAGGUAGAGAAUACCAAGGCGCUUGAGAGAACUCGGGUGAAGGAACUAGGCAAAAUGGUGCCGUAACUUCGGGAGAAGGCACGCUGACACGUAGGUGAAGUGAUUUACUCAUGGAGCUGAAGUCAGUCGAAGAUACCAGCUGGCUGCAACUGUUUAUUAAAAACACAGCACUGUGCAAACACGAAAGUGGACGUAUACGGUGUGACGCCUGCCCGGUGCCGGAAGGUUAAUUGAUGGGGUCAGCGCAAGCGAAGCUCCUGAUCGAAGCCCCGGUAAACGGCGGCCGUAACUAUAACGGUCCUAAGGUAGCGAAAUUCCUUGUCGGGUAAGUUCCGACCUGCACGAAUGGCGUAAUGAUGGCCAGGCUGUCUCCACCCGAGACUCAGUGAAAUUGAACUCGCUGUGAAGAUGCAGUGUACCCGCGGCAAGACGGAAAGACCCCGUGAACCUUUACUAUAGCUUGACACUGAACAUUGAGCCUUGAUGUGUAGGAUAGGUGGGAGGCUUUGAAGUGUGGACGCCAGUCUGCAUGGAGCCGACCUUGAAAUACCACCCUUUAAUGUUUGAUGUUCUAACGUGGACCCGUUACCCGGGUUGCGGACAGUGUCUGGUGGGUAGUUUGACUGGGGCGGUCUCCUCCUAAAGAGUAACGGAGGAGCACGAAGGUUGGCUAAUCCUGGUCGGACAUCAGGAGGUUAGUGCAAUGGCAUAAGCCAGCUUGACUGCGAGCGUGACGGCGCGAGCAGGUGCGAAAGCAGGUCAUAGUGAUCCGGUGGUUCUGAAUGGAAGGGCCAUCGCUCAACGGAUAAAAGGUACUCCGGGGAUAACAGGCUGAUACCGCCCAAGAGUUCAUAUCGACGGCGGUGUUUGGCACCUCGAUGUCGGCUCAUCACAUCCUGGGGCUGAAGUAGGUCCCAAGGGUAUGGCUGUUCGCCAUUUAAAGUGGUACGCGAGCUGGGUUUAGAACGUCGUGAGACAGUUCGGUCCCUAUCUGCCGUGGGCGCUGGAGAACUGAGGGGGGCUGCUCCUAGUACGAGAGGACCGGAGUGGACGCAUCACUGGUGUUCGGGUUGUCAUGCCAAUGGCACUGCCCGGUAGCUAAAUGCGGAAGAGAUAAGUGCUGAAAGCAUCUAAGCACGAAACUUGCCCCGAGAUGAGUUCUCCCUGAGACUUAAAGUCUCCUGAAGGAACGUUGAAGACGACGACGUUGAUAGGCCGGGUGUGUAAGCGCAGCGAUGCGUUGAGCUAACCGGUACUAAUGAACCGUGAGGCUUAACCUUACAACGCCGAAG
rnacentral:rRNA from 1 species